AUGAAAUAUAAUUUGAUGUUUGCGCUUGUUUGAAUACUCCAUGAAGAUGAGGAAAAUACAUGUUUGUGUCUAACAGUGUCUGGCAUGUGAUCCACUGGCAUGAUAAAGGCAUGGUAGCUGGCCAGAUGGUACAUGCAGUUUCUAGUUCAAUGGAACUCUUCCUGUAUCUCUAACAGAAAACCCCAACAAUUUAAAGGUUAAAGACUGUUUGUGGCUGCUGUUAAUGAAAACUACAGGAACUAAAAACAAAAACAAAAGCAAAAACAAAGUGAUUUCUAUUGAGAUGGACUCAGUCUCAGAGAUUCUAUUCUCAGCUGUGUCCAGUCUACUGAGAGGCCCAUCAAAGCGUUUAUAUUUACUCUUGCCUCUAACUGGGAUGUUCAACUCUCUGCAUGGUUAACUUCUCUAGUCCUCCAUGUCUCAGCUUGAAUACUUCCCAGAGAAAGCUUCUCCCAUCUUGUGUAAAGCAGCACCAUAC